UGAGGAAUAUUGGUCAAUGGGCGCAGGCCUGAACCAGCCAAGUCGCGUGAGGGAAGACGGUCCUACGGAUUGUAAACCUCUUUUGUCGGGGAGUAACGUGCGGGACGCGUCCCGUAUUGAGAGUACCCGAAGAAAAAGCAUCGGCUAACUCCGUGCCAGCAGCCGCGGUAAUACGGAGGAUGCGAGCGUUAUCCGGAUUUAUUGGGUUUAAAGGGUGCGCAGGCGGCGCGCCAAGUCAGCGGUCAAAGUUCCGGGCUCAACCCGGUGUCGCCGUUGAAACUGGCGUGCUCGAGUGCGUGCGAGGAAGGCGGAAUGCGUUGUGUAGCGGUGAAAUGCAUAGAUAUGACGCAGAACUCCGAUUGCGAAGGCAGCUUUCCAGCGCGCUACUGACGCUGAGGCACGAAAGCGUGGGGAUCGAACAGGA
rnacentral:rRNA from 1 species